AAUAAAAAUCACUAGUCUACACGACCUGAACUUCACUUCGACUUUCCAUUUUCACGAUCUGAAAUCCCAAAACUUCUCUUCUCCAGCAUCAACGUCUACGUAGCGAAGCUUCCCAGAUCCCUGAACCACUACUGGUCCAUCGAGGGCGAUUCACGACUUGGACCGUGAGAAGAAGCUGGUCUAUUUUUUUGGUGUGUUGACGCUUUGCUUCCAAUGGAUCUUAAUGGAACACCCUGAAUUCUGCGAUGAAGAAACGAGAAUUUGGUACCCUCUUCCCCUUUCUCCAAUUUUCUCGUAAAAAGUACCCUUUUUCCUUCAUCUUCUGGUUCGGAAUUUGGUAUCGUCCCAGAAUUUUGAUGGUCUCAAUCAUGCUUUUUCUGGGUAUGAUUAUGGGUGAAGACGAAAUUAUUGCUUUAUAGGUUAAUUCUCAUCUUAUACCUGUUUGCGCCUUCUGGGUUUUCUCUCGGGUAAAAAUGCUUUUGCUUUGGGGAGGCUAUGUCGAGGUUUACUUUGAAAAUUUGGAAGAUGGGAAAUUUCUAGCCAUUAAACGGUUGACAAGAGGUAGCAAGGAAGAAAUGACAGUAAAUUUCUUGUCUGAGCAUGGCAUUAUAGUGCAUGUGGACCAGCCAAUGUUACUAGAUUGAGCUGAAGGGGGAUGUUUCUAUUUCUUUAGUUGUCUCCACAUGGCAGUCUUACAUUACAUCCAUCCUUUAUGGUCUCUGGUACAAAGUUCUCUAGCCCAAAGUUCAGUUUUCACUUUCAAUGAAUGGGACAAUUUAUCCAACCAUUACAUUUCAUCCAGGGGUCUCGCUUUCAAGUUGCAUGUGAGGUAAUGUUUGAUGCCAUAAACCCUUGACUCAGUUUAAAUUCAAAAUUCUCAGACGAUUUAUGGAAUGUGGAGAAUUCAUCAUUCAUCCUUAGAUUUUGAGUUCUAUACCAUCUCCAUGACAAAAUCUGCUAUUUUAUGCUCAUAAGUCAUAGCUAUUAAUUAAAAUUACAAAAAACUAAAAUAGUAUUGGCCUGAACUUCUGUUAUAUUUAAGAUGAUAUAUUUAACAUUUUUUUCUCAAGCCAAGCUAGAGACAGUGGUGAGGAUGUAUUGCAUAGUCAAGAAACAAUUGGCACUGCCAGAUGAUACAGUUUUGAUUUUGAUGUGCAAGCUUAGAGAUUUUAUAUCAGAAUAGAUUCAAUUGACCGUGGAAUUCGGAAAGACCCUUACUGAGCUUUGUUGUGAUGCACUAGGAGACUUCAAUCCUAUGGUUCGUGUUUCUGUGUUUUGAAAAGGGCUCAAAGGCAUCAUCUUCAAAGUUUAAAAUAUUGGCAAGACAAUUCUAGAUGACAUCAGCUAGAUAAAUUGAAGGCUUAGUUACACUUAGAAAUUCAUUUUUGGUCUAUUUCAUUUCAAUUUCUACAAUGUAAUAUAUAAUGAUACUUUUGAAAUGGAUGUAACUAAGCUUUAACACAUCUUUUGCUCACAUGGAAGUCCUUCUAUUGACUUUGCUCACUUCGAACACAUUACCAGCGAUGUUGAAUCACAUGUUACUCAUUCGAUUGCUUGAUGGAGAAAUCGUUUGAGCAGUA